AAGGUUAUUUCUCAAAUGAAUUGACGGGGGCCCGCACAAGCGGUGGAGCAUGUGGUUUAAUUCGAUGCUACGCGAAGAACCUUACCUGGUCUUGACAUCCACAGAAGAAUCCAGAGAUGGAUUUGUGCCUUCGGGAACUGUGAGACAGGUGCUGCAUGGCUGUCGUCAGCUCGUGUUGUGAAAUGUUGGGUUAAGUCCCGCAACGAGCGCAACCCUUAUCCUUUGUUGCCAGCGGUUAGGCCGGGAACUCAAAGGAGACUGCCAGUGAUAAACUGGAGGAAGGUGGGGAAGACGUCAAGUCUUCAUGGCCCUUACGUCCAGGGCUACACACGUGCUACAAUGGCGCAUACAUAGAGAAGCGACCUCGCGAGAGCAAGCGGAC
rnacentral:rRNA from 1 species